rnacentral:lncRNA from 1 species
AGGAGUGGAUGCUUGAGGUGGCAGCAGCUCAAGACCUGGAGGAGACGUUGUCCGACGUCGAAGCUUCUGUUGGUGAUCUGAUCAGCGCGAAGGAGUUUGAGGAGAUGGCUGCGAUUACCUUUGAGUUUGGGGAGUCGACAGUGAGGACGGAGGAUAUCGCUGACAUGGUUGAAGCGCGGUUUUUCAAGGAUGGCCGCGCGAAGGCUCCUCCUGCGGGUCAGACGGUGCCUGCGCCUGAAGAGGGUUAUACUGUUGUAUUCAGGGACUUUUUUACCUGCGGACUUCGGAUGCCUCCGU